rnacentral:rRNA from 1 species
GGGUUGAAAGAUGCUAGUUCUUUCAUGAUUAUGUGAUAGGUGGUGCAUGGCCGUUCUUAGUUCGUGGAGUGAUCUGUCUGCUUAAUUGCGUAUCAAUAAUAGAGACCUAGUAUACGCGUAGACUCAUGCGGUAGUGACCCCCCUUCACAGGGCGCGUGUCGCACGUAUGUUAUACGCACAGGUCUCCGAUAGCAACGAACGUGACCGUACUCUAUUGUUGCAGCGACAAUACCUUUCAACGGGUAUUACCGCUGCUUAGCAAGAUUCGUCUUGCAUUAAACUAUAGAGACCGCUGUUUCUUCUUUAAACCAGAGGAAGGAUACGGCAAUAACAGGUCUGUGAUGCCCUCAGAUGUUCCGGGCUGCACACGUGCUACAAUGAUCAUUGCACUGUGCAUCUAACCCAAUGUGCGCGGACGCCGCCGUGCGUAUAUACUUUAUUGUGUAUGCGUAUCGUGCGUGCGACCGCGCCGAACCUGCUUCGAAAGUAAACAUUUCCAGCGGGUAAUCCAUUAGAAGUAAUGACUCGCAUAGACCAUGGNACACUAUAUGUACCCGCGGGUUCUACCCGGCUCGCCUUUGUGUGAGUGC